GGGGUGAAAGCUGUUAUCUAAAGGUGAAAAUAGUUAUGUAAAAUAAGCCAAGGACUUGUAUGCGGUCAUUGACUUAAGAAGGAGGGGAGACCAACAUGAUGUUAUCCACUCAAUGCAAACAAAAGGCAUGGAGAUGGGAAACACAGCUUUGCUGAGACCGCAGGGGAGACAGUUUCUGAGCAGAUGCGGUGCUAGGUUUUUUGUUCGAUAAUUUCCCCCCUCAGUUCUGAGGUCUGGGCAUCUUCCCCCUCGGGAGACUGAAAAGAUUUGGCAUGGGUCCUCAGAUCCUCAAAAGGUUCUAGAGCUGCACCAUCAAGAGCAUCCUGAUUGGUUGGAUCACUGCCUGGUAUGGCAACUGCUCAGCCAGGAGGUGUCAGAGGAAGGCCCUAAAAAUGGUCAAAGACUCCAGCCACCCUAGUCAUAGACUGUUCUCUCUGCUACCGCACGACAAGCGGUACCGGAGCGCCAAGUCUAGGUCCAAAAGGCUUCUUAACAGCUUCUACCUCCCAAGCCAUAAGACUCCUGAACAGCUAAUUAAAGGGCUACCCAGACCAUUCUUUUACUCUGCUGCUACUCUCUGUUUAUUUUCUAUGCAUAAUCACUUUAACUCUACCUACAUGUACAUAUUACCUCAGUUACCUCGACUAACUGGUGUCUCCGCACAUUGACUCUGUACCGGUACCCCCUGUAUAUAGCCUCCACAUUGACUCUGUACCGGUACCCCUGUAUAUAGUCUCCACAUUGACUCUGUACCGGUACCCACUGUAUAUAGCCCCGCUUGUUGUUUUACUGCUGC
ensembl:lncRNA